GUAUCCAUGAGUGUACCAGUAAUGAGAAGAAGUGUUUCAAGUGUGGAAAAGGUGGUCACUUGGCUGCAGAGUGCCGGUUGAAGACUGUGACUUGUUUCAACUAUGGAGAGGUGGGUCAUAUCAGUCCACAGUGUCCUAAGCCGAAGAGAGAGAACCAGUCGGGAGGCAAGGUCUUUGCUUUAUCGGGUUCUGAGACUUCUGCAGAUGAUCGUUUGAUCUGAGGUAACGAGCAGUGAUUGAGUAGGGGCUAGUGCUUGAAGUCUAGUGUAGUUCCUUAGUGGAUCAUGCUCUGAUAGAUGUAACAUCGGGAUGGGAUGUUUUAAAUUGUUUUAUUGUUGGUUGUUGAACCAUUUUACAUGUAAUGUGUUACAUGUUUUACAAUGAUUGAUGAGAUUUCUAUCCGCUGCGUAUUAUGCAAAUGCUUAUGUUUUGAAUUAAUAAAAGAGCAUGACAGUUAUUUUGGUG